rnacentral:rRNA from 1 species
UACGUAGGUGGCAAGCGUUGUCCGGAAUCAUUGGGCGUAAAGCGCGUGUAGGCGGUCCGGUAAGUCCGCUGUGAAAGUCGGGGGGCUCAACCCUCGGAUGCCGGUGGAUACUGUCGGGCUUGAGUACGGAAGAGGCGAGUGGAAUUCCUGGUGUAGCGGUGAAAUGCGCAGAUAUCAGGAGGAACACCAAUUGCGAAGGCAGCUCGCUGGGACGUUACUGACGCUGAGACGCGAAAGCGUGGGGAGCAAACAGG